GGACCCGCACAAGUAGUGGAGCAUGUGGUUUAAUUCGAAGAUACGCGCAGAACCUUACCAACACUUGACAUGUUCGUCGCGACUUUAAGAGAUUAAAGUUUUCGGUUCGGCCGGACGAAACACAGGUGCUGCAUGGCUGUCGUCAGCUCGUGUCGUGAGAUGUUGGGUUAAGUCCCGCAACGAGCGCAACCCUCACUUUUAGUUGCCAUCAUUUAGUUGGGCACUCUGAAAGAACUGCCAGUGAUAAGCUGGAGGAAGGUGGGGAUGACGUCAAGUCCUCAUGGCCCUUACGUGUUGGGCUACACACGUGCUACAAUGAUAUCUACAACAGGAAGCGAGACGGCGACGUCAAGCAAAUCCUUAAAAGAUAUCUCAGUUCGGAUUGCACUCUGCAACUCGAGUGCAUGAAGCUGGAAUUACUAGUAAUCG
rnacentral:rRNA from 1 species